rnacentral:rRNA from 1 species
AACCGAGAACUCCUACGGGAGGCAGCAGUGGGGAAUUUUGGACAAUGGGGGCAACCCUGAUCCAGCGAUGCCGCGUGAGUGAAGAAGGCCUUCGGGUUGUAAAGCUCUUUUGUCAGGGAAGAAACGGUAGUAGCUAAUAUCUAUUACUAAUGACGGUACCUGAAGAAUAAGCACCGGCUAACUACGUGCCAGCAGCCGCGGUAAUACGUAGGGUGCAAGCGUUAAUCGGAAUUACUGGGCGUAAAGCGUGCGCAGGCGGUUUUGUAAGUCUGUCGUGAAAGCCCCGGGCUCAACCUGGGAAUUGCGAUGGAGACUGCAAGGCUUGAAUCUGGCAGAGGGGGGUAGAAUUCCACGUGUAGCAGUGAAAUGCGUAGAGAUGUGGAGGAACACCGAUGGCGAAGGCAGCCCCCUGGGUCAAGAUUGACGCUCAUGCACGAAAGCGUGGGGAGCAAACAGGAUUAGAUACCCCAGUAGUCCGACUGAGA